UACGUAGGAGGCGAGCGUUAAUCGGAAUUACUGGGCGUAAAGCGCGCGUAGGCGGCUUUGCAAGUCGGGUGUGAAAUCCCCAGGCUUAACCUGGGAACUGCAUUCGAGACUGCAUUGCUAGAGUAUGGGAGAGGGAAGUGGAAUUUCCGGUGUAGCGGUGAAAUGCGUAGAUAUCGGAAGGAACAUCAGUGGCGAAAGCGACUUCCUGGACCAAUACUGACGCUCAUGUGCGAAAGCGUGGGGAGCAAACGGG
rnacentral:rRNA from 1 species